AAAUUGAAGAGUUUGAUCAUGGCUCAGAUUGAACGCUGGCGGCAGGCCUAACACAUGCAAGUCGAGCGGUAGCACAGAGAGCUUGCUCUCGGGUGACGAGCGGCGGACGGGUGAGUAAUGUCUGGGAAACUGCCUGAUGGAGGGGGAUAACUACUGGAAACGGUAGCUAAUACCGCAUAAUGUCGCAAGACCAAAGUGGGGGACCUUCGGGCCUCAUGCCAUCAGAUGUGCCCAGAUGGGAUUAGCUAGUAGGUGGGGUAACGGCUCACCUAGGCGACGAUCCCUAGCUGGUCUGAGAGGAUGACCAGCCACACUGGAACUGAGACACGGUCCAGACUCCUACGGGAGGCAGCAGUGGGGAAUAUUGCACAAUGGGCGCAAGCCUGAUGCAGCCAUGCCGCGUGUGUGAAGAAGGCCUUCGGGUUGUAAAGCACUUUCAGCGGGGAGGAAGGCGGUGAGGUUAAUAACCUCACCGAUUGACGUUACCCGCAGAAGAAGCACCGGCUAACUCCGUGCCAGCAGCCGCGGUAAUACGGAGGGUGCAAGCGUUAAUCGGAAUUACUGGGCGUAAAGCGCACGCAGGCGGUCUGUCAAGUCGGAUGUGAAAUCCCCGGGCUUAACCUGGGAACUGCAUUCGAAACUGGCAGGCUAGAGUCUUGUAGAGGGGGGUAGAAUUCCAGGUGUAGCGGUGAAAUGCGUAGAGAUCUGGAGGAAUACCGGUGGCGAAGGCGGCCCCCUGGACAAAGACUGACGCUCAGGUGCGAAAGCGUGGGGAGCAAACAGGAUUAGAUACCCUGGUAGUCCACGCCGUAAACGAUGUCGAUUUGGAGGUUGUGCCCUUGAGGCGUGGCUUCCGGAGCUAACGCGUUAAAUCGACCGCCUGGGGAGUACGGCCGCAAGGUUAAAACUCAAAUGAAUUGACGGGGGCCCGCACAAGCGGUGGAGCAUGUGGUUUAAUUCGAUGCAACGCGAAGAACCUUACCUGGUCUUGACAUCCACAGAACUUUCCAGAGAUGGAUUGGUGCCUUCGGGAACUGUGAGACAGGUGCUGCAUGGCUGUCGUCAGCUCGUGUUGUGAAAUGUUGGGUUAAGUCCCGCAACGAGCGCAACCCUUAUCCUUUGUUGCCAGCGGUUAGGCCGGGAACUCAAAGGAGACUGCCAGUGAUAAACUGGAGGAAGGUGGGGAUGACGUCAAGUCAUCAUGGCCCUUACGACCAGGGCUACACACGUGCUACAAUGGCAUAUACAAAGAGAAGCGACCUCGCGAGAGCAAGCGGACCUCAUAAAGUAUGUCGUAGUCCGGAUUGGAGUCUGCAACUCGACUCCAUGAAGUCGGAAUCGCUAGUAAUCGUAGAUCAGAAUGCUACGGUGAAUACGUUCCCGGGCCUUGUACACACCGCCCGUCACACCAUGGGAGUGGGUUGCAAAAGAAGUAGGUAGCUUAACCUUCGGGAGGGCGCUUACCACUUUGUGAUUCAUGACUGGGGUGAAGUCGUAACAAGGUAACCGUAGGGGAACCUGCGGUUGGAUCACCUCCUUACCUUAAAGAA
rnacentral:rRNA from 1 species